GGUCGCCAGGAGACGCCCGCCCCGCCCUCCCUUUUCCUUCCACCCGGGACCUUUUAAAGGAUUCCGACUGGCCCGGGGGGGCGGGGCCUCGUCUCUAGGGCGGAGGGCGGCGAGGACGUCAGAGCCGCUUCCUUCACCGCAGUCACGCUCCUCGCUCCAAAAUCGUCAGCCUUCUCCCAGCGGUCCCUUUAGAGCAGCCUCAGGGACUUCGCCGCACGUCCUGCGGUCGUCUCUCCUGCCGCCUCCCCUCCCACCCCCGGCGCCCCAUCCUUCCUCGCUCAGGAGGGAUGGCACCUCGGCUGGGAACUCGUUCCUUGCUCGCCACUGCCCUGGGGACAAAGUCCCAGCUCCUCCCUUUUUCCACAAAGCCCUUCACGGACUGGCCUGAUGCACACUCCUCCUCGCUCCUCGCCUCCUGCGAUGCGGCCCCAGUGAUUGAGUUUCCAUUUUUCCAAAAUGACUUCAAGGGCCCGCCACCACCGUAAACCCUGAGAUUUUUGUCCAUUUUCUUCCCUGCCUUAUCCCCAGUGUUUUAGGUACCAUAGCAAGUCCUCAAAAAUGGCAAUAAAGGGCCUCUGGAUCUUUAA